GGUUAUUGCUUUCAUCAUUGUUGGUUGUCAGUUAUUGUAUUCAAUAUCACAGCCAAUUUUGAUGAGAUGAGAUAGCU
rnacentral:pre_miRNA from 1 species